AGCGGCGUAAGGGGCAGUAAUACCUGGGAACGUACCCGGAGGUCGGGGAUAGCUGCUGGAAACGGCGAGUAAUACCCGAUGAUCUUGGAAAAGCAAAGGCUUGCCGCCUUCGGAGCGGCCCAGGCGAUAUUAGCUAGUUGGUGAGGUAACGGCUUACCAAGGCCAAGAUGUCUAGCGGGUGUGAGAGCACGACCCGCGCCACUGGCACUGAGACACUGGCCAGACACCUACGGGUGGCUGCAGUCGAGAAUCUUCGGCAAUGAGCGCAAGCUUGACCGAGCGACGCCGCGUGCGGGAUGAAGGCCUUCGGGUUGUAAACCGCUUUGGUCCGAGAGAAAGGGCAACUUGAUCGAUCGGAGAAACAAGGACGGGCUAAGUUCGUGCCUGCAGCCGCGGCAAGACGAACCGUCCAAACGUUAUUCGGAAUCACUGGGCUUAAAGGGCGCGUAGGCGGCCGAGCGGGUCGCGGGUGAAAUCCUCCAGCUUAACUGGAGAACUGCCCUCGAUACCACUGCGGCUCGAGGAAGGAAGGGGUCAUGGGAACUGUCGGUGGAGCGGUGAAAUGCGUUGAUAUCGACAGGAACGCCUGUGGCGAAAGCGCAUGACUGGUCCUUUUCUGACGCUGAGGCGCGAAAGCCAGGGGAGCAAACGGGAUUAGAUACCCCGGUAGUCCUGGCCUUAAACGAUGAGAACUAGGUAG
rnacentral:rRNA from 1 species